AAAGCCUGACGGAGCAAGACCGCGUGUAGGAGGAAGGCCUUGUGGGUCGUAAACCUCUUUUCUCAGGGAAGAAGACCUGACGGUCCCUGAGGAAUCAGCCUGGGCUAACUCCGUGCCAGCAGCCGCGGUAAUACGGAGGAGGCAAGCGUUAUCCGGAAUUAUUGGGCGUAAAGCGUCCGCAGGUGGCUCAUCAAGUCUGCUGUCAAAGCCCGAAGCUCAACUUCGGANAGGCAGUGGAAACUGGAGAGCUAGAGAACGGUAGGGGUAGAGGGAAUUCCCAGUGUAGCGGUGAAAUGCGUAGAGAUUGGGAAGAACACCGGUGGCNAAAGC
rnacentral:rRNA from 1 species